rnacentral:rRNA from 1 species
UACGUAGGGAGCAAGCGUUGUUCGGAUUUACUGGGCGUAAAGGGCGCGUAGGCGGCGCGACAAGUCACUUGUGAAAUCUCCGGGCUUAACCCGGAAAGGUCAGCCGAUACUGCGGGGCUAGAGUGCAGAAGGGGCAACUGGAAUUCUCGGUGUAGCGGUGAAAUGCGUAGAUAUCGAGAGGAACACCUGCGGCGAAGGCGGGUUGCUGGGCUGACACUGACGCUGAUGCGCGAAAGCAUGGGGAGCGAACAGG